rnacentral:misc_RNA from 1 species
GAUGAAGAACGUAGCGAAAUGCGAUAAGUAGUGUGAAUUGCAGAAUUCAGUGAAUCAUCGAAUCUUUGAACGCACAUUGCGCCCUUUGGUAUUCCUUAGGGCAUGCCUGUUCGAGCGUCAUUUAAACCUUCAAGCUAAGCUUGGUGUUGGGUGACUGUCCGCUUCACGGCGGACUCGCCUCAAAAUUAUUGGCGGCCGGUACAUUGGCUUCGAGCGCAGCAGAAACGCGAACUCGGGCCCGUCGUAUUGGCUCCCAGAAGCUAUCUUCACAAUUUUGACCUCGGACCAGGUAGGGAUACCCGCUGAACUUAAGCAUAUCAAUAAGCGGAGGA